rnacentral:rRNA from 1 species
UACGUAGGGUGCGAGCGUUGUCCGGAAUUAUUGGGCGUAAAGAGCUUGUAGGCGGUCUGUCGCGUCUGCUGUGAAAAUCCGGGGCUCAACCCCGGACUUGCAGUGGGUACGGGCAGACUAGAGUGUGGUAGGGGAGACUGGAAUCCUGGUGUAGCGGUGAAAUGCGCAGACUAUCAGGAAGAACACCCGUGGCGGAAGGCGGCUCUCUGG